GACGAGGGAUCCUAGCGUUGUUCGGAAUCAUUGGGCGUAAAGAGUAUGUAGGCGGCCUUGUAAGUCAGUUGUGAAAGCCCCGGGCUCAACCCGGGAAGUGCAAUUGAUACUGCUUGGCUUGAAUGUGGAAGAGGGCAGUAGAAUUCCUGGUGUAGUGGUGAAAUACGUAGAUAUCAGGAGGAAUACCGGUGGCGAAGGCGGCUGCCUGGUCCUACAUUGACGCUGAGGCGCGAAAGCUAGGGGAGCAAACGGG
rnacentral:rRNA from 1 species